CAAUGGAACUUACCUUUGUGACAUAGGGUACGAUCAAGCAUGGUCUUGGCCACAGCUCUUUGCUUACUGACUGACCUCACUGUCAGUUUUCUUCUAGUUUGGUUGGGGUUUAACUUUGCUGAGGGCCCCCACCCUUGUACUCUGCAAACACAACUUCUGUGUGGCUGCUGCAGCCUGGUUGAAUCAAAACUGUCUUGGCCCUGGAUUAGGACUGGUCAGUGCCAUGCGCAGGUCAGGAAGCCGUGCCUGGAUUUCACUGUGAUGGCAGAGCUGUCAAGGAAGACUUGUGCCAGCCAGAGCUGUGAAGUGUAUCUUCCUGCAUCUUUCUUUUAAAAUUUGCUCACAGUGAUGCAAACUGCAUCCCAGAUUCAGUAUCAUUUGGAGACAACCAAAAACCUGGCUGGUCUGUGAUGAAUGAAAUCCAGCAUGGUGCCUUCUUACCUCCGCAGGGAUCAUGAGUUUCAAGUGCAGAGACCUGUGCUCUUAGCUUGCCCAGCAGAAGGGAUAAUGGUGCCAGGUCCAGCAAGCGUGUGGCGCCAAGGACAGCUGCGCACUGAGGCCAGUGGAUUUUGUGUCACCUGGUGUAGCAGAACGAGAGUUAGUUCAUAUUUCUGUCACAAAGGAGGCUCAACUAUCAUUAAGUCCAAGUGAUCCUUGUUUGAUUACACUGAACAUUCUGUAGAAGCUGUGAAGGAAACCAAAGUGGGAAACACUUGCUAUAAUUUUUUAUU